rnacentral:rRNA from 1 species
AUUGAACGCUGGCGGCAUGCCUUACACAUGCAAGUCGAACGGCAGCGCGGGGGCAACCCUGGCGGCGAGUGGCGAACGGGUGAGUAAUAUAUCGGAACGUACCCAAGAGUGGGGGAUAACGUAGCGAAAGUUACGCUAAUACCGCAUACGAUCUAAGGAUGAAAGCAGGGGACCGCAAGGCCUUGUGCUCCUGGAGCGGCCGAUAUCUGAUUAGCUAGUUGGUGGGUAAAGGCCUACCAAGGCAUCGAUCAGUAGCUGGUCUGAGAGGACGACCAGCCACACUGGGACUGAGACACGGCCCAGACUCCUACGGGAGGCAGCAGUGGGGAAUUUUGGACAAUGGGGGCAACCCUGAUCCAGCAAUGCCGCGUGAGUGAAGAAGGCCUUCGGGUUG